rnacentral:rRNA from 1 species
AUUGAACGCUGGCGGCAGGCUUAACACAUGCAAGUCGAGCGGAGAUGAGGUGCUUGCACCUUAUCUUAGCGGCGGACGGGUGAGUAAUGCUUAGGAAUCUGCCUAUUAGUGGGGGACAACAUUCCGAAAGGAAUGCUAAUACCGCAUACGCCCUACGGGGGAAAGCAGGGGAUCUUCGGACCUUGCGCUAAUAGAUGAGCCUAAGUCGGAUUAGCCGGUUGGUGGGGUAAAGGCCUACCAAGGCGACGAUCUGUAGCGGGUCUGAGAGGAUGAUCCGCCACACUGGGACUGAGACACGGCACAGACUCCUACGGGAGGCAGCAGUGGGGAAUAUUGGACAAUGGGCGGAAGCCUGAUCCAGCCAUGCCGCGUGUGUGAAGAAGGCCUUUUGGUUGUAAAGCACUUUAAGCGAGGAGGAGGCUACCUGGAUUAAUACUCUAGGAUAGUGGACGUUACUCGCAGAAUAAGCACCGGCUAACUCUGUGCCAGCAGCCGCCGUAAGAC